GUCAACUAACCCUCGACUGAAGUCGAAGGCAUGAAGGAGCAAUCCAUUGUGCCUGGUUGAUUAGCCUAAGUGCUUCGGCACUACGUUGUUUUUGUCAUAACACCUACGGACGUCCAUCCUAAUCCGUGGCUCUGUUGCCUGUGAUUAAAAGUUCUCUUGGGUUAACGGGAACGGUGUUGCAGGCGUAAAAAGCAAUUACAACAUUGGCGAAGGAUGCCAAC
rfam:Youngiibacter fragilis 232.1 contig_91, whole genome shotgun sequence.